rnacentral:rRNA from 1 species
GACGUAGGGCGCGAGCGUGUCCGGAUUUAUUGGGCGUAAAGAGCUCGUAGGCGGCUUGUCGCGUCGACUGUGAAAACUCGGGGCUCAACUCCGAGCUUGCAGUCGAUACGGGCAGGCUAGAGUUCGGUAGGGGAGACUGGAAUUCCUGGUGUAGCGGUGAAAUGCGCAGAUAUCAGGAGGAACACCGGUGGCGAAGGCGGGUCUCUGGGCCGAUACUGACGUGAGGAGCGAAAGCGUGGGGAGCGAACAGG